GACGAACGCUGGCGGCGUGCCUAAUACAUGCAAGUAGAACGCUGAAGGUGGAGCUUGCUUCUCUGGAUGAGUUGCGAACGGGUGAGUAACGCGUAGGUAACCUGCCUGGUAGCGGGGGAUAACUAUUGGAAACGAUAGCUAAUACCGCAUAAUAGUAGAUGUUGCAUGACAUUUGCUUAAAAGGUGCAAUUGCAUCACUACCAGAUGGACCUGCGUUGUAUUAGCUAGUUGGUGGGGUAACGGCUCACCAAGGCGACGAUACAUAGCCGACCUGAGAGGGUGAUCGGCCACACUGGGACUGAGACACGGCCCAGACUCCUACGGGAGGCAGCAGUAGGGAAUCUUCGGCAAUGGACGGAAGUCUGACCGAGCAACGCCGCGUGAGUGAAGAAGGUUUUCGGGUCGUAAAGCUCUGUUGUAAGAGAAGAACGAGUGUGAGAGUGGAAAGUUCACACUGUGACGGUAUCUUACCAGAAAGGGACGGCUAACUACGUG
rnacentral:rRNA from 1 species